GCUGUUAUAGUUCAGUCGGUAGAGCGCAUCCUUGGUAAGGAUGAGGUCGGCGGUUCGAAUCCGCCCAGCAGCUCCA
rnacentral:tRNA from 1 species